rnacentral:rRNA from 1 species
AUUGAACGCUGGCGGCAGGCCUAACACAUGCAAGUCGAGCGGAGCGGCGGACGGGUGAGGAAUGCCUAGGAAUCUGCCUGGUAGUGGGGGAUUACGUUCGGAAACGGGCGCUAAUACCGCACACUAUUAGAUGAGCAUAGGUCGGUUUAGCUAGUUGGUGGGGUAAGGGCCUACCAAGUCGACGACCCGUAACUGGUCUGCGGGGAUGAUCAGUCCCACGGGAACUGAGACACGGUCCAGACUCCUACGGGAGGCAGCAGUGGGGAAUAUUGGACAAUGGGCGAAGGCCUGAGCGAGACAUGCCGCGUGUGUGGAGAAGGUCUUCGGGUUGUAAAGCACUUUAAGUUGGGAGGCGUUACCAACAGAAUAAGCACCGGCUAACUUCGUGCCAGCAGCCGCGGUAAUUC